GACGAACGCCGGCGGCGUGCUUAACACAUGCAAGUCGAACGGUGAAAGCGGAGCUUGCUCCGCUGGAUCAGUGGCGAACGGGUGAGUAACACGUGGGCAACCUGCCCCUCACUUCGGGAUAACUCCGGGAAACCGGGGCUAAUACCGGAUAUGACCUCCUUGGGCAUCCUUGGAGGUGGAAAGUUUUUCGGUGAGGGAUGGGCCCGCGGCCUAUCAGCUUGUUGGUGAGGUAGUGGCUCACCAAGGCGACGACGGGUAGCCGGCCUGAGAGGGCGACCGGCCAGACUGGGACUGAGACACGGCCCAGACUCCUACGGGAGGCAGCAGUGGGGAAUAUUGCACAAUGGGCGCAAGCCUGAUGCAGCAACGCCGCGUGAGGGAUGACGGCCUUCGGGUUGUAAACCUCUUUUAGCAGGGAAGAAGCGAAAGUGACGGUACCUGCAGAAAAAGCACCGGCUAACUACGUGCCAGCAGCCGCCGUAA
rnacentral:rRNA from 1 species